CCUACGGGAGGCAGCAGUGGGGAAUAUUGGGCAAUGGGCGCAAGCCUGACCCAGCAACGCCGCGUGAAGGAAGAAGGCCCUCGGGUUGUAAACUUCUUUUAACAGGGACGAAGAAAGUGACGGUACCUGUUGAAUCAGCCACGGCUAACUACGGGCCAGCAGCCGCGGUAAUACGUAGGUGGACAGCGUUAUCCGGAUUUACUGGGGGUAAAGGGCGUGUAGGCGGGAGAGCAAGUCAGACGUGAAAUUCCAGGGCUCAACCCUGGAACUGCAUUUGAAACUGUUCUUCUUGAGUGAUGGAGAGGCAGGCGGAAUUCCGUGUGUAGGGGUGAAAUGCGUAGAGAUACGGAGGAACACCAGUGGCGAAGGCGACCUGCUGGACAUUAACUGACGCUGAGGCGCGAAAGCGUGGGGAGCAAACAGGAUUAGAUACCCGAGUAGUC
rnacentral:rRNA from 1 species